rnacentral:rRNA from 1 species
UACCAGCACCCCGAGUGGUCGGGACGUUUAUUGGGCCUAAAGCAUCCGUAGCCGGUUCUACAAGUCUUCCGUUAAAUCCACCUGCUUAACAGAUGGGCUGCGGAAGAUACUAUAGAGCUAGGAGGCGGGAGAGGCAAGCGGUACUCGAUGGGUAGGGGGUAAAAUCCGUUGAUCCAUUGAAGACCACCAGUGGCGAAGGCGGCUUGCCAGAACGCGCUCGGACGGUGAGGGAUGAAAGCUGGGGAGCAAACCGGG